GUCGUAGUACACAUUUGGGAUAACAUUGUAUCCUUUCCAGCAAAACUAAUAGGGGAGGGGAUUAGAACUGAAAAACAAUCUUCAUUGAGUGGCAAUAAUUCAUAUAUUGAAGCGUACAAUGACGGCUGUCUCGUCUAGGUGACAACAUUUGCUGUUUCAAGUUUAUUUAUAUCUCAUAAUGGUAUAAUAGUUGUAAUAACAGCAAAAAA
rnacentral:lncRNA from 1 species